UGGCUUAGCGGUAAAGCGCUUGGCAUUCCGAACCGAAGGUCCCGGGUUCGAAUCCUGG
rnacentral:tRNA from 1 species